rnacentral:tRNA from 1 species
GCGCUCGUAGCUCAGUUGGAUAGAGCGUCGGACUUCGAAUCCGCAGGUCGGGUGUUCGAGUCACCCCGAGCGUG